rnacentral:tRNA from 1 species
GGAUUGUGGCUCAGCGGUAGAGUACUUGACUAGCAUGUACAAGGCCCUGGGUUUGAUCCUCAGCACCA